rnacentral:rRNA from 1 species
GACGAACGCUGGCGGCGUGCUUAACACAUGCAAGUCGAACGGAAAGGCCCUGCUUUUGUGGGGUGCUCGAGUGGCGAACGGGUGAGUAACACGUGAGUAACCUGCCCUUGACUUUGGGAUAACUUCAGGAAACUGGGGCUAAUACCGGAUAGGAGCUCCUGCUGCAUGGUGGGGGUUGGAAAGUUUCGGCGGUUGGGGAUGGACUCGCGGCUUAUCAGCUUGUUGGUGGGGUAGUGGCUUACCAAGGCUUUGACGGGUAGCCGGCCUGAGAGGGUGACCGGCCACAAUGGGACUGCGAUAGGGCCCAGAGUCCUACGUGAGGCAGCAGGGGGGAACAUGGCACAAUGGGCGGAAGCCGGAGGCAGAAACGCCGCGUUCGGGAAGACGGCCUUCGGGGUGAGAACCGCUUUCGCCUGUGACGAAGCGUGAGUGACGGUAAUGGGUAAAGAAGCACCGGCUAACUACGUG